rnacentral:lncRNA from 1 species
AUGUCAGCAUUUAGAUUUAAAAUGGAUAAAGAUAAAGGUACACAAAGGAGAGGCUCGCUUUCAGAAGAUAUUAGUCUCAGGGACGUCAUGAAGGAAAUGAGGGAAAUGAUGAAAGAGGUCCAGAGAAUGGCAGAGAAGCAAGAUGCCUAUCAGAAAAUGAUUCAGGAACAAAUGUUAUGUAUGAAAAAUGAGAUUACAGAAGAAUUGGGGGACAUGAAAAAAGAUAUAAAUAAUUUAAAACAGGAAAUCCAAGAAAUUAAACAAGAUAAACAAAAACAAGAGAAGAUACAAACAAAAACCCAAGCUAAGAUAGAGAAUCUAGAAAUUAAAAAUCAAAAACUAGAAUUGAAACAAGAAAUUAUGGAACAAAAAAAUCUAGAAUACCAAUUAAGAUAUAGAAACGUAGAGGAAGAAAGUAAAGAGAAUAUUAGGGAAACAAUAGUUCAACUAACAUCCGAACUAACACAUAGUAAAUACGAAGUUGUAGAUCAGGAGAUUGACAGGGUCUAUAGGAUUUCCACUAAUUAUGCCAGGAGAAACAAGGUUCCAAGAGAUGUAAUAGUACACUUCAUAAAGAAAAAAACCAGAGAUGAUAUUUUAAGAGAAAAUAACAAAAAACCAAUUUAUUACAAAGAUAAAAAAAUAGCUAUCUUAAAAGAAUUCCUACCAUCAACAUUAAUUAAAAGACGAAAAUAUAUGUUCUUAACAGGGGAAUUAAAAAAGAGACAAAUCAAAUUUCGAUGGGAACAACCAGAAGGAAUCAUGGUGACCUAUAAGGAGGAGAGAUCGUGGCUAACCUCGGAAAAAAAGGCAAAAGACUUUUAUCGUAAAUUAAAAAAGGAUUUUGAAACAAUACCCCAAAAAGACAAAGGAAAAGGAGAAAUAAAGGGCAAGAUGGACAAGAAGAGGUCGAGAGAAGAAUCCCCGGAUAUGGAGUACCUCCCUGAAGGCAUGGCUCUCCCAGAAUUGGAUGAAGUUGAAGAGGAAGAAAUAGCGGAUCAAGAGAAGAGGGAAUUUCUGAAGGAUGGAGAGACAAAUAAAAUGCAAUUUUAA